rnacentral:rRNA from 1 species
GAUGAACGCUAGCUACAGGCUUAACACAUGCAAGUCGAGGGGCAGCAUGAACUUAGCUUGCUAAGUUUGAUGGCGACCGGCGCACGGGUGAGUAACACGUAUCCAACCUGCCGAUGACUCGGGGAUAGCCUUUCGAAAGAAAGAUUAAUACCCGAUGGCAUAGUUCUUCCGCAUGGUAGAACUAUUAAAGAAUUUCGGUCAUCGAUGGGGAUGCGUUCCAUUAGGUUGUUGGCGGGGUAACGGCCCACCAAGCCUUCGAUGGAUAGGGGUUCUGAGAGGAAGGUCCCCCACAUUGGAACUGAGACACGGUCCAAACUCCUACGGGAGGCAGCAGUGAGGAAUAUUGGUCAAUGGACGAGAGUCUGAACCAGCCAAGUAGCGUGAAGGAUGACUGCCCUAUGGGUGGUAAACUUCUUUUAUACGGGAAUAAAGUGAGGCACGUGUGCCUUUUUGUAUGUACCGUAUGAAUAAGGAUCGGCUAACUCCGUG